rnacentral:rRNA from 2 species
GACGAACGCUGGCGGCGUGCCUAAUACAUGCAAGUCGAACGAACUCUGGUAUUGAUUGGUGCUUGCAUCAUGAUUUACAUUUGAGUGAGUGGCGAACUGGUGAGUAACACGUGGGAAACCUGCCCAGAAGCGGGGGAUAACACCUGGAAACAGAUGCUAAUACCGCAUAACAACUUGGACCGCAUGGUCCGAGUUUGAAAGAUGGCUACGGCUAUCACUUUUGGAUGGUCCCGCGGCGUAUUAGCUAGAUGGUGGGGUAACGGCUCACCAUGGCAAUGAUACGUAGCCGACCUGAGAGGGUAAUCGGCCACAUUGGGACUGAGACACGGCCCAAACUCCUACGGGAGGCAGCAGUAGGGAAUCUUCCACAAUGGACGAAAGUCUGAUGGAGCAACGCCGCGUGAGUGAAGAAGGGUUUCGGCUCGUAAAACUCUGUUGUUAAAGAAGAACAUAUCUGAGAGUAACUGUUCAGGUAUUGACGGUAUUUAACCAGAAAGCCACGGCUAACUACGUGCCAGCAGCCGCGGUAAUACGUAGGUGGCAAGCGUUGUCCGGAUUUAUUGGGCGUAAAGCGAGCGCAGGCGGUUUUUUAAGUCUGAUGUGAAAGCCUUCGGCUCAACCGAAGAAGUGCAUCGGAAACUGGGAAACUUGAGUGCAGAAGAGGACAGUGGAACUCCAUGUGUAGCGGUGAAAUGCGUAGAUAUAUGGAAGAACACCAGUGGCGAAGGCGGCUGUCUGGUCUGUAACUGACGCUGAGGCUCGAAAGUAUGGGUAGCAAACAGGAUUAGAUACCCUGGUAGUCCAUACCGUAAACGAUGAAUGCUAAGUGUUGGAGGGUUUCCGCCCUUCAGUGCUGCAGCUAACGCAUUAAGCAUUCCGCCUGGGGAGUACGGCCGCAAGGCUGAAACUCAAAGGAAUUGACGGGGGCCCGCACAAGCGGUGGAGCAUGUGGUUUAAUUCGAAGCUACGCGAAGAACCUUACCAGGUCUUGACAUACUAUGCAAAUCUAAGAGAUUAGACGUUCCCUUCGGGGACAUGGAUACAGGUGGUGCAUGGUUGUCGUCAGCUCGUGUCGUGAGAUGUUGGGUUAAGUCCCGCAACGAGCGCAACCCUUAUUAUCAGUUGCCAGCAUUAAGUUGGGCACUCUGGUGAGACUGCCGGUGACAAACCGGAGGAAGGUGGGGAUGACGUCAAAUCAUCAUGCCCCUUAUGACCUGGGCUACACACGUGCUACAAUGGAUGGUACAACGAGUUGCGAACUCGCGAGAGUAAGCUAAUCUCUUAAAGCCAUUCUCAGUUCGGAUUGUAGGCUGCAACUCGCCUACAUGAAGUCGGAAUCGCUAGUAAUCGCGGAUCAGCAUGCCGCGGUGAAUACGUUCCCGGGCCUUGUACACACCGCCCGUCACACCAUGAGAGUUUGUAACACCCAAAGUCGGUGGGGUAACCUUUUAGGAACCAGCCGCCUAAGGUGGGACAGAUGAUUAGGGUG